CCUACGGGAGGCUGCAGUGGGGAAUAUUGGGCAAUGGGCGCAAGCCUGACCCAGCAACGCCGCGUGAGGGAAGAAGGCUUUCGGUUUGUUAACUUCUUUUAUCAGGGACGAAGCAAGUGACGGUACCUGCUGAAUAAGCCACGGAUAACGACGUGCCAGCAGCCGCGGUAAUACGUAGGUGGCGAGCGUUAUCCGGAUUUACUGGGUGUAAAGGGCGGGUAGGCGGGAGGGCAAGUCAGAUGGGAAAACCAUGGGCUCAACCCAUAGCCUGCAUUUGAAACUGCCCGUCUUGAGUGCUGGAGAGGCAAUCGGAAUUCGGUGUGUAGCGGUGAAAUGCGUAGAUAUACGGAGGAACACCAGUGGCGAAGGCGGAGUGCUGGAUAGAAACUGACGCUGAGGCGCGAAAGCGUGGGGAGCGAACAGGAUUAGAUACCCGGGUAGUC
rnacentral:rRNA from 1 species